rnacentral:rRNA from 1 species
GGGUUGUGAGGUUAAGCGACUAAGCGUACACGGUGGAUGCCCUGGCAGUCAGAGGCGAUGAAGGACGUGCUAAUCUGCGAAAAGCGUCGGUAAGGUGAUAUGAACCGUUAUARCCGGCGAUGUCCGAAUGGGGAAACCCAGUGCAAUUCGUUGCACUAUCGUUAACUGAAUACAUAGGUUAACGAGGCGAACCGGGGGAACUGAAACAUCUAAGUACCCCGAGGAAAAGAAAUCAACCGAGAUUCCCCCAGUAGCGGCGAGCGAACGGGGAGCAGCCCAGAGUCUGAAUCAGCUUGUGUGUUAGUGGAACGGUCUGGAAAGUCCGACGGUACAGGGUGAUAGUCCCGUACACCAAAAUGCACAGGYUGUGAACUCGAAGAGUAGGGCGGGACACGUGGUAUCCUGUCUGAAUAUGGGGGGACCAUCCUCCAAGGCUAAAUACUCCUGACUGACCGAUAGUGAACCAGUACCGUGAGGGAAAGGCGAAAAGAACCCCGGCGAGGGGAGUGAAAAAGAACCUGAAACCGUGUACGUACAAGCAGUGGGAGCACCUUCGGGUGUGACUGCGUACCUUUUGUAUAAUGGGUCAGCGACUUAUAUUCUGUAGCAAGGUUAACCGUAUAGGGGAGCCGCAGGGAAACCGAGUCUUAACUGGGCGUUAAGUUGCAGGGUAUAGACCCGAAACCCGGUGAUCUAGCCAUGGGCAGGUUGAAGGUUGGGUAACACUAACUGGAGGACCGAACCGACUAAUGUUGAAAAAUUAGCGGAUGACUUGUGGCUGGGGGUGAAAGGCCAAUCAAACCGGGAGAUAGCUGGUUCUCCCCGAAAGCUAUUUAGGUAGCGCCUCGUGAAYUCAUCUUCGGGGGUAGAGCACUGUUUCGGCUAGGGGGUCAUCCCGACUUACCAACCCGAUGCAAACUACGAAUACCGAAGAAUGUUAUCACGGGAGACACACGGCGGGUGCUAACGUCCGUCGUGAAGAGGGAAACAACCCAGACCGCCAGCUAAGGUCCCAAAGUCAUGGUUAAGUGGGAAACGAUGUGGGAAGGCACAGACAGCCAGGAUGUUGGCUUAGAAGCAGCCAUCAUUUAAAGAAAGCGUAAUAGCUCACUGGUCGAGUCGGCCUGCGCGGAAGAUGUAACGGGGCUAAACCAUGCACCGAAGCUGCGGCAGCGACACUAUGUGUUGUUGGGUAGGGGAGCGUUCUGUAAGCCUGCGAAGGUGWSCUGUGAGGSWUGCUGGAGGUAUCAGAAGUGCGAAUGCUGACAUAAGUAACGAUAAAGCGGGUGAAAAGCCCGCUCGCCGGAAGACCAAGGGUUCCUGUCCAACGUUAAUCGGGGCAGGGUGAGUCGACCCCUAAGGCGAGGCCGAAAGGCGUAGUCGAUGGGAAACAGGUUAAUAUUCCUGUACUUGGUGUUACUGCGAAGGGGGGACGGAGAAGGCUAUGUUAGCCGGGCGACGGUUGUCCCGGUUUAAGCAUGUAGGCUGRUUGUCCAGGCAAAUCCGGAUAAUCAAGGCUGAGGUGUGAUGACGAGGCACUACGGUGCUGAAGUAACAAAUGCCCUGCUUCCAGGAAAAGCCUCUAAGCAUCAGGUAACAUCAAAUCGUACCCCAAACCGACACAGGUGGUCAGGUAGAGAAUACCAAGGCGCUUGAGAGAACUCGGGUGAAGGAACUAGGCAAAAUGGUGCCGUAACUUCGGGAGAAGGCACGCUGGUGUGUAGGUGAAGYCCCUGCGGRUGGAGCUGAGACCAGUCGAAGAUACCAGCUGGCUGCAACUGUUUAUUAAAAACACAGCACUGUGCAAACACGAAAGUGGACGUAUACGGUGUGACGCCUGCCCGGUGCCGGAAGGUUAAUUGAUGGGGUUAUCCGUAAGGAGAAGCUCUUGAUCGAAGCCCCGGUAAACGGCGGCCGUAACUAUAACGGUCCUAAGGUAGCGAAAUUCCUUGUCGGGUAAGUUCCGACCUGCACGAAUGGCGUAAUGAUGGCCAGGCUGUCUCCACCCGAGACUCAGUGAAAUUGAACUCGCUGUGAAGAUGCAGUGUACCCGCGGCAAGACGGAAAGACCCCGUGAACCUUUACUAUAGCUUGACACUGAACAUUGAGCCUUGAUGUGUAGGAUAGGUGGGAGGCUUUGAAGCGUGGACGCCAGUCUGCGUGGAGCCAACCUUGAAAUACCACCCUUUAAUGUUUGAUGUUCUAACGUUGGCCCCUUACCGGGGUUGCGGACAGUGUCUGGUGGGUAGUUUGACUGGGGCGGUCUCCUCCCAAAGCGUAACGGAGGAGCACGAAGGUUAGCUAAUCCUGGUCGGACAUCAGGAGGUUAGUGCAAUGGCAUAAGCUAGCUUGACUGCGAGCGUGACGGCGCGAGCAGGUGCGAAAGCAGGUCAUAGUGAUCCGGUGGUUCUGAAUGGAAGGGCCAUCGCUCAACGGAUAAAAGGUACUCCGGGGAUAACAGGCUGAUACCGCCCAAGAGUUCAUAUCGACGGCGGUGUUUGGCACCUCGAUGUCGGCUCAUCACAUCCUGGGGCUGAAGUAGGUCCCAAGGGUAUGGCUGUUCGCCAUUUAAAGUGGUACGCGAGCUGGGUUUAGAACGUCGUGAGACAGUUCGGUCCCUAUCUGCCGUGGGCGCUGGAGAAUUGAGGGGGGCUGCUCCUAGUACGAGAGGACCGGAGUGGACGCAUCACUGGUGUUCGGGUUGUCAUGCCAAUGGCACUGCCCGGUAGCUAAAUGCGGAAGAGAUAAGUGCUGAAAGCAUCUAAGCACGAAACUUGCCCCGAGAUGAGUUCUCCCUGAGACUUUAAGUCUCCUGAAGGAACGUU